GACGAACGCUGGCGGCGUGCUUAACACAUGCAAGUCGAACGGAAAGGCCCUGCUUUUGUGGGGUGCUCGAGUGGCGAACGGGUGUGUAACACGUGAGUAACCUGCCCUUGACUUUGGGAUAACUUCAGGAAACUGGGGCUAAUACCUGAUAGGAGCUCCUGCUGCAUGGUGGGGGUUGGAAAGUUUCGGCGGUUGGGGAUGGACUCGCGGCUUAUCAGCUUGUUGGUGGGGUAGUGGCUUACCAAGGCUUUGACGGGUAGCCGGCCUGAGAGGGUGACCGGCCACAUUGGGACUGAGAUACGGCCCAGACUCCUACGGGAGGCAGCAGUGGGGAAUAUUGCACAAUGGGCGGAAGCCUGAUGCAGCAACGCCGCGUGCGGGAUGACGGCCUUCGGGUUGUAAACCGCUUUCGCCUGUGACGAAGCGUGAGUGACGGUAAUGGGUAAAGAAGCACCGGCUAACUACGUG
rnacentral:rRNA from 1 species